GACGAACGCUGGCGGCGUGCUUAACACAUGCAAGUCGAACGGAAAGGCCCUGCUUUUGUGGGGUGCUCGAGUGGCGAACGGGUGAGUAACACGUGAGUAACCUGCCCUUGACUUUGGGAUAACUUCAGGAAACUGGGGCUAAUACCGGAUAGGAGCUCCUGCUGCAUGGUGGGGGUUGGAAAGUUUCGGCGGUUGGGGAUGGACUCGCGGCUUAUCAGCUUGUUGGUGGGGUAGUGGCUUACCAAGGCUUUGACGGGUAGCCGGCCUGUGAGGGUGACCGGCCACAUUGGGACUGAGAUACAGCCCAGACUCCUACGGGAGGCAGCAGUGGGGAAUAUUGCACAAUGGGCGGAAGCCUGAUGCAGCAACGCCGCGUGCGGGAUGACGGCCUUCGGGUUGUAAACCGCUUUCGCCUGUGACGAAGCGUGUGUGACGGUAAUGGGUAAAGAAGCACCGGCUAACUACGUG
rnacentral:rRNA from 1 species